rnacentral:rRNA from 1 species
UACGAAGGGGGCUAGCGUUGUUCGGAAUCACUGGGCGUAAAGGGCGCGUAGGCGGCUUUAUAAGUCGGGGGUGAAAGCCUGUGGCUCAACCACAGAAUUGCCUUCGAUACUGUAGAGCUUGAGACCGGAAGAGGUUAGUGGAACUGCGAGUGUAGAGGUGAAAUUCGUAGAUAUUGGGAAGAACACCGGUGGCGAAGGCGGCUCACUGGCUCGUUUCUGACGCUCAGG